rnacentral:antisense_RNA from 1 species
CUUCACGGAACCGAGCCACAGCGGUCGGUCCGACGGUCGCUCCCGCCCGUAUGCGGCGAUCAGGGCCUCUGCCUC